AUGGGGCUAGAGGACAAGCAAAGGAUGCUGACCGGGUCUGGAGAUCCCAAGGAGGAGGAAGAAGAGGAGGAGGAAUUAGCAGAUCUCCUGACAACAAUGAGAGGGCAAUGUGAGCAGAUGAAGAAAUGUGUAAAGGCUAGGGAGCAGCUAGAAUUCUGUGAUGAGCGUGUAUCCUCCAGGUCACAGGCAGAGGAGGACUGCACAGAGGAGCUCUUUGACUUCUUGCAUGCAAGGGACCACUGUAAGGCCCACAAACUGUUUAACAGCUUGAAAUAG